CUCUCCCCUGCUCCCCUUCCAUCUAAAACACCUGUGACUGGGUGGUAGAUUAUUCCAGCCCAGGUCAGAAGAGAUAAGGGGAGCAACUGAGUUGUUUAUUGUCCUUUGUAUCUUCCAGGAGUCCUCAACCAACAAAAGAUAAGGAAACCGAGGCUCAGAAAGAUGACAUCCCUUGUCUACAAGCGACACUAUAUUUCUUAAAAGUGGAGUGGAGGGCUCACGACUCAGGAAUCAGCCGCCACCACUUAAACCUGUCUUCAAAGGUGGAGAAUCUGACCUCAUCCACAGUCCAAGACCCAUCCAUCUUCCUGUAACAAGGAGCACAUCUGUCACCAGGCUUCUGGGUCACAUUUCCUGUCAACCAGGAAUCCCUCUAAGGAUGGAGGGAAAACUGGGAGCUUCCUUCUGCCCCCCCCGCCCCCCACUCGAAUCAUUUCCCCGUUUGAUCGUGUGGAGGGGCGGGGGAGAAACAGAAAAACAGGGAACAGGAAUUCGUUAUUCUUCGGUGGCAUUUCUAGCAAUGGGCUGA
rnacentral:lncRNA from 1 species